rnacentral:rRNA from 1 species
UAUGGUAAUUGUGUGCCGCCGCGGUAAUACGUAGGGGGCAAGCGUUAUCCGGAUUUACUGGGUGUAAAGGGAGCGUAGGCGGCGGAGCAAGUCAGAAGUGAAAGCCCGGGGCUCAACCCCGGGACGGCUUUUGAAACUGCCCUGCUUGAUUUCAGGAGAGGUAAGCGGAAUUCCUAGUGUAGCGGUGAAAUGCGUAGAUAUUAGGAGGAACACCAGUGGCGAAGGCGGCUUACUGGACUGACAAUGACGCUGAGGCUCGAAAGCGUGGGGAGCAAACAGG